GACGAACGCUGGCGGCGUGCCUAACACAUGCAAGUCGAACGGGGUUGUAAGAGCUUGCUUUUGCAACCUAGUGGCGGACGGGUGAGUAACGCGUGAGUAACCUGCCUUACAGAGGGGGAUAACGUCUGGAAACGGACGCUAAUACCGCAUGACAUAUAAUUACCGCAUGGUAAAGAUAUCAAAGGAGCAAUCCGCUGUAAGAUGGACUCGCGUCCGAUUAGCUAGUUGGAGGGGUAACGGCCCACCAAGGCGACGAUCGGUAGCCGGACUGAGAGGUCGAACGGCCACAUUGGGACUGAGACACGGCCCAG
rnacentral:rRNA from 1 species